GGGGACGGAUGUCGUCCUGGUGGCGGCCGCGGCCUUCAAAGCCGUUCGAGGGGCAGGUAAACCCUGUCCCUGCUGGGUUCGAUUCCCAGACGUUCCCG
rnacentral:tRNA from 2 species